AUUGUUCGCAAUGGGCGCAAGCCUGACGACGCAACGCCGCGUGGAGGAUGAAGAUCUUCGGGUCGUAGACUCCUGUCGAGCGGGACGAACACUUAUCCGGUUAAUACCUGGGUAGGCUGACGGUACCGGGAGAGGAAGCACCGGCUAACUCCGUGCCCGCAGCCGCGGUAAUACGGAGGGUGCGAGCGUUGUCCGGAAUCACUGGGCGUAAAGGGCGCGUAGGCGGCAUGCCAAGCGUGUGGUGAAAGCCCGGGGCUCAACCCCGGGUCGGCCGUGCGGACUGGCGUGCUCGAGCACUGUAGGGGCGGGUGGAAUUCCGGGUGUAGCGGUGGAAUGCGUAGAGAUCCGGAAGAACACCGGUGGCGAAGGCGGCCCACUGGGCAGGAAGACACCGCAAGGCGUCGGCUGACGCUGAGGCGCGACAGCGUGGGGAGCAAAC
rnacentral:rRNA from 1 species